rnacentral:piRNA from 1 species
UGGGAUUUGCUGGCUUCUGGUCUGAGCAA